rnacentral:rRNA from 1 species
UACGUAGGGUGCGAGCGUUAAUCGGAAUUACUGGGCGUAAAGCGUGCGCAGGCGGUCUUGCAAGUCAGUGGUGAAAUCCCCGGGCUCAACCUGGGAACUGCCAUUGUGACUGCAAGGCUAGAGUGCGGCAGAGGGGGAUGGAAUUCCGCGUGUAGCAGUGAAAUGCGUAGAUAUGCGGAGGAACACCGAUGGCGAAGGCAAUCCCCUGGGCCUGCACUGACGCUCAUGCACGAAAGCGCGGGGAGCAAACAGG